CCUACGGGAGGCAGCAGUGGGGAAUUUUGGACAAUGGGCGCAAGCCUGAUCCAGCCAUGCCGCGUGCGGGAAGAAGGCCUUCGGGUUGUAAACCGCUUUUGUCAGGGAAGAAAUCCUUUGGGUUAAUACCUCGGAGGGAUGACGGUACCUGAAGAAUAAGCACCGGCUAACUACGUGCCAGCAGCCGCGGUAAUACGUAGGGUGCGAGCGUUAAUCGGAAUUACUGGGCGUAAAGCGUGCGCAGGCGGUUAUGCAAGACAGAUGUGAAAUCCCCGGGCUCAACCUGGGAACUGCAUUUGUGACUGCAUAGCUAGAGUACGGUAGAGGGGGAUGGAAUUCCGCGUGUAGCAGUGAAAUGCGUAGAUAUGCGGAGGAACACCGAUGGCGAAGGCAAUCCCCUGGACCUGUACUGACGCUCAUGCACGAAAGCGUGGGGAGCAAACAGGAUUAGAUACCCUGGUAGUCCACGCCCUAAACGAUGUCAACUGGUUGUUGGACGGCUUGCUGUUCAGUACGAAGCUAACGCGUGAAGUUGACCGCCUGGGGAUACGGCCGCAAGGUUGAAACUUAAAGGAAUUGACGGCUGAGAGAGCGACGACGACGACGAGGGAGGAGG
rnacentral:rRNA from 1 species